AAACGAUAAAAUGGAAAUAGCUAGAUUUGUGGUAUUAGCAGGACUUUAAACAAAUAAAUGGAAAAGUUGCUUAAGCGCAAGAAUGGUAACUAUCGAUUGUGGCCACUCUCGAUGAUUUCCCAGCCCUAGAAUAUACCACUAAUCAGCCGGGAGGCUGUGAACAGCCGCUGCGGUAGAAUGAUUUUUGUACUCUUCAGAAACAAUUUUGCUGGGUAUGUUAAGAUUUUUUCAUUUUAUCUCAAGUUGAAGUCGUCACCUUAUAAGUUAGUUCACCUUGGCAAAGUCUAAUGUAAGUGGUCCAUCCCUAACACGGAUCCCGCUCUUUUUUGUUCAGCUCAGGAAAACGGAACAAGAGAAUACAAAUAAAGAUGCGACGUGUCUUACGGAUGAUCAGUUGAUGGAACGCAUCUACAAAGACUUUUACACGGAUGAAGAAACUCGAAAGAAAUAUAACUUCAAAUUUGAUGCGACACCCGCGUUGCAGCAGAGGCUUCUUAGGUUUGCCAAGCGGGUGGACCCAUCGAAAACAAAAAGGUAAAUUGAAUUUUGAAUGAAUUUUAGAUGUAGUUAUGAAAUGGUUUAUACAUUGCAGGUACUCGAUUGGAGUUACAAUCUCAGCUAAACAGAGUCGAACCGCUCCGAAUGAGGCAGACCCGUAAGUAUUUCUCUUUUUCUGAGUUACUGCCAGCUAAAUAUUUUCGUUUAUAAAAAAGGUUCCAAGCGAGCCGAUUGAGGUCACCGCCGGACCGCAGGACUUUCCUAAAGUACAUCAACUAUGAGGAUACAGUGGGGAAGUUGUGUAACAAAAGCAACUCUACCAACAAGCAAUUGAUGUGCCGCUACUACUGCUCCUUCUACCUGGAUCAGAAAGUGGGAAUGCCUACGCAUAUAAAUUCAGUGAGGAGAGCCCUGCUAAGUUGCUGGAAAAGCUAAAUGAAUUUGCCAUUCCCUUUAAAGGAGAGAAAAGCACUGACAACAGUUCCCUCUCAGGGACUUUCAGUUUUUCAUAUAUUUUUAUACCCGGUACUCGGAGUAAAUAUAAAUAUAAAAUAUAAGAAUGUAAAUAUACAAAGAAAACUAAAAAUGCC
rnacentral:lncRNA from 1 species